rnacentral:hammerhead_ribozyme from 1 species
AUCCAGCUGACGAGUCCUAAAUAUGAAGAAAUUCGAGUUCUGGAU